rnacentral:rRNA from 1 species
UACAGGGGGGGCAAGCGUUGUUCGGAAUUACUGGGCGUAAAGGGCCCGUAGGCGGCCGACUAAGUCCGACGUGAAAUCCCCAGGCUUAACCUGGGAACUGCGUCGGAUACUGGUUGGCUUGAAUUCGGGAGAGGGAUGCAGAAUUCCAGGUGUAGCGGUGAAAUGCGUAGAUAUCUGGAGGAAUACCGGUGGCGAAGGCGGCAUCCUGGACCGACAUUGACGCUGAACGGCGAAAGCUAGGGGAGCAAACGGG